rnacentral:rRNA from 1 species
CCUAGGGGGCGCAGCAGUGGGGAAUAUUGGACAAUGGGCGAAAGCCUGAUCCAGCCAUGCCGCGUGUGUGAAGAAGGCCUUCGGGUUGUAAAGCACUUUCAGUGGGGAAGAAAGCCUUGGGGCUAAUACCCUCGAGGAAGGACAUCACCCACAGAAGAAGCACCGGCUAACUCCGUGCCAGCAGCCGCGGUAAUACGGAGGGUGCGAGCGUUAAUCGGAAUUACUGGGCGUAAAGCGCGCGUAGGCGGUCUGAUAAGCCGGUUGUGAAAGCCCCGGGCUCAACCUGGGAACGGCAUCCGGAACUGUCAGGCUAGAGUGCAGGAGAGGAAGGUAGAAUUCCCGGUGUAGCGGUGAAAUGCGUAGAGAUCGGGAGGAAUACCAGUGGCGAAGGCGGCCUUCUGGACUGACACUGACGCUGAGGUGCGAAAGCGUGGGUAGCAAACAGGAUUAGAUACCCUAGUAGUC